rnacentral:rRNA from 1 species
ACUCUAAGCGGUGGAUCACUCGGCUCAUGGGUCGAUGAAGAACGCAGCAAACUGUGCGUCAUCGUGUGAACUGCAGGACACAUGAACAUCGACAUUUUGAACGCAUAUCGCAGUCCAUGCUGUUAUGUACUUUAAUUAAUUUUAUAGUGCUGCUUGGACUACAUAUGGUUGAGGGUUGUAAGACUAUGCUAAUUAAGUUGCUUAUAAAUUUUUAUAAGCAUAUGGUAUAUUAUUGGAUAAAUAUAAUAAUUUUUAUUCAUAAUAUUAAAAAAUAAAUGAAAAACAUUAUCUCACAUUUGAAUGUGAAAAACGAAGAGAAAUAUUUUCUUUUUCAAUCAAAUAAUACUGAGAAAUGUCUAGCAUAAAAAAUUGAAAUAUUUUUCAUCUAGAAUUGUCUCUUAUUAAUGAUUCGGAAAUAGAAAAAUCUUGGUUAUGUUAUUAUUCUUCGUUGGUUCGUUAAAAAUGGAUAAAUAAAAACUUUGCAUACAAGAAUUAAUAAAAAUGUUAUAACGAAUUUAAUUAAAUGUUUUAUCAUUAUAUAUAAAGAAUUUAUGGCAAGAUAAAGUUAUAUACAACCUCAACUCAUAUGGGACUACCCCCUGAAUUUAAGCAUAUUAAUUAGGGGAGGAAAAGAAACUAACAAGGAUUUUCUUAGUAGCGGCGAGCGAAAAGAAAACAGUUCAGCACUAAGUCACUUUGUCUAUAUGGCAAAUGUGAGAUGCAGUGUAUGGAGCGUCAAUAUUCUAGUAUGAGAAAUUAACGAUUUAAGUCCUUCUUAAAUGAGGCCAUUUACCCAUAGAGGGUGCCAGGCCCGUAUAACGUUAAUGAUUACUAGAUGAUGUUUCCAAAGAGUCGUGUUGCUUGAUAGUGCAGCACUAAGUGGGUGGUAAACUCCAUCUAAAACUAAAUAUAACCAUGAGACCGAUAGUAAACAAGUACCGUGAGGGAAAGUUGAAAAGAACUCUGAAUAGAGAGUUAAACAGUACGUGAAACUGCUUAGAGGUUAAGCCCGAUGAACCUGAAUAUCCGUUAUGGAAAAUUCAUCAUUAAAAUUGUAAUAUUUAAAUAAUAUUAUGAGAAUAGUGUGCAUUUUUUCCAUAUAAGGACAUUGUAAUCUAUUAGCAUAUACCAAAUUUAUCAUAAAAUAUAACUUAUAGUUUAUUCCAAUUAAAUUGCUUGCAUUUUAACACAGAAUAAAUGUUAUUAAUUUGAUAAAGUGCUGAUAGAUUUAUAUGAUUACAGUGCGUUAAUUUUUCGGAAUUAUAUAAUGGCAUAAUUAUCAUUGAUUUUUGUGUUUAUUAUAUGCACUUGUAUGAUUAACAAUGCGAAAGAUUCAGGAUACCUUCGGGACCCGUCUUGAAACACGGACCAAGGAGUCUAACAUAUGUGCAAGUUAUUGGGAUAUAAACCUAAUAGCGUAAUUAACUUGACUAAUAAUGGGAUUAGUUUUUUAGCUAUUUAUAGCUAAUUAACACAAUCCCGGGGCGUUCUAUAUAGUUAUGUAUAAUGUAUAUUUAUAUUAUUUAUGCCUCUAACUGGAACGUACCUUGAGCAUAUAUGCUGUGACCCGAAAGAUGGUGAACUAUACUUGAUCAGGUUGAAGUCAGGGGAAACCCUGAUGGAAGACCGAAACAGUUCUGACGUGCAAAUCGAUUGUCAGAAUUGAGUAUAGGGGCGAAAGACCAAUCGAACCAUCUAGUAGCUGGUUCCUUCCGAAGUUUCCCUCAGGAUAGCUGGUGCAUUUUAAUAUUAUAUAAAAUAAUCUUAUCUGGUAAAGCGAAUGAUUAGAGGCCUUAGGGUCGAAACGAUCUUAACCUAUUCUCAAACUUUAAAUGGGUAAGAACCUUAACUUUCUUGAUAUGAAGUUCAAGGUUAUGAUAUAAUGUGCCCAGUGGGCCACUUUUGGUAAGCAGAACUGGCGCUGUGGGAUGAACCAAACGUAAUGUUACGGUGCCCAAAUUAACAACUCAUGCAGAUACCAUGAAAGGCGUUGGUUGCUUAAAACAGCAGGACGGUGAUCAUGGAAGUCGAAAUCCGCUAAGGAGUGUGUAACAACUCACCUGCCGAAGCAACUAGCCCUUAAAAUGGAUGGCGCUUAAGUUGUAUACCUAUACAUUACCGCUAAAGUAGAUGAUUUAUAUUACUUGUGAUAUAAAUUUUGAAACUUUAGUGAGUAGGAAGGUACAAUGGUAUGCGUAGAAGUGUUUGGCGUAAGCCUGCAUGGAGCUGCCAUUGGUACAGAUCUUGGUGGUAGUAGCAAAUAAUCGAAUGAGACCUUGGAGGACUGAAGUGGAGAAGGGUUUCGUGUGAACAGUGGUUGAUCACGAGUUAGUCGGUCCUAAGUUCAAGGCGAAAGCCGAAAAUUUUCAAGUAAAACAAAAAUGCCUAACUAUAUAAACAAAGCGAAUUAUAAUACACUUGAAUAAUUUUGAACGAAAGGGAAUACGGUUCCAAUUCCGUAACCUGUUGAGUAUCCGUUUGUUAUUAAAUAUGGGCCUCGUGCUCAUCCUGGCAACAGGAACGACCAUAAAGAAGCCGUCGAGAGAUAUCGGAAGAGUUUUCUUUUCUGUUUUAUAGCCGUACUACCAUGGAAGUCUUUCGCAGAGAGAUAUGGUAGAUGGGCUAGAAGAGCAUGACAUAUACUGUUGUGUCGAUAUUUUCUCCUCGGACCUUGAAAAUUUAUGGUGGGGACACGCAAACUUCUCAACAGGCCGUACCAAUAUCCGCAGCUGGUCUCCAAGGUGAAGAGUCUCUAGUCGAUAGAAUAAUGUAGGUAAGGGAAGUCGGCAAAUUAGAUCCGUAACUUCGGGAUAAGGAUUGGCUCUGAAGAUUGAGAUAGUCGGGCUUGAUUGGGAAACAAUAACAUGGUUUAUGUGCUCGUUCUGGGUAAAUAGAGUUUCUAGCAUUUAUGUUAGUUACUUGUUCCCCGGAUAGUUUAGUUACGUAGCCAAUUGUGGAACUUUCUUGCUAAAAUUUUUAAGAAUACUAUUUGGGUUAAACCAAUUAGUUCUUAUUAAUUAUAACGAUUAUCAAUUAACAAUCAAUUCAGAACUGGCACGGACUUGGGGAAUCCGACUGUCUAAUUAAAACAAAGCAUUGUGAUGGCCCUAGCGGGUGUUGACACAAUGUGAUUUCUGCCCAGUGCUCUGAAUGUCAAAGUGAAGAAAUUCAAGUAAGCGCGGGUCAACGGCGGGAGUAACUAUGACUCUCUUAAGGUAGCCAAAUGCCUCGUCAUCUAAUUAGUGACGCGCAUGAAUGGAUUAACGAGAUUCCUACUGUCCC